rfam:Ovis aries breed Texel chromosome 15, whole genome shotgun sequence.
GCCUGGCUAGCUCAGUUGGUAGAGCAUGAGAUUCUUAAUCUCUGGGUUUGAGCCCUGAGCUCAUGGGUUCAAGCCCCAGGUUGGGCG